rnacentral:rRNA from 1 species
GACGAACGCUGGCGGCGUGCUUAACACAUGCAAGUCGAACGAAGUGGCGUACGGGUGAGUAACGCGUAAUCAACCUGCCCUUCAGAGGGGAACAACAGUUGGAAACGACUGCUAAUACCUCAUACUGAAGGAUGGGAUUGCGUCUGAUUAGCUAGUUGGAGGGGUACCGGCCGACCAAGGCGAUGAUCAGUAGACGGUCUGAAAGGAUAGACGGCCACAUUGGGACUGAGACACGGACCAGACUCCGACGGGAGGCAGCAGUGGGGAAUAGUCCGCAAUGGACGAAAGUCUGACGGAGAAACGACGAGUGAGUGAGGAAGGCCUUCGGGUUGUAAAGCUCUGUUAAUCGGGACGCGGUACCGGAAUAGAAAGCCACGGCUAACUACGUGCCAGCAGACGCGGUAAUAC